rnacentral:lncRNA from 1 species
GGGAGAUGUCUUCCACCACCGGAUUCAGCAAGGAAGUCUUGAGGAAGAACUGCUUCAUCCUCCAGAUUUGAUCAAGCAGGGAGAUGUCCUCCACAGCUGGAUCUAAGAAGCAGUGAUUGUUGAUGAGCAGGUUCAGCUGGUGCCUAUUGAUGCUAAAGCUUUUGUGUAUGCUUGCACCUUUGUUUUCCACUGUGGGUGCUUGUUGGUCAAAUUUAUGUGUACCUCCUGCAACAUGGUUAGUGCAUUGUGGCUCCACAGAAAUAACAUGCAGGGGUAUAACACCCAAUCCCAGUGUAAGAGGUUGAACCUCAGAUAUACC